rnacentral:rRNA from 1 species
GACGAACGCUGGCGGCGUGCCUAAUACAUGCAAGUCGAACGCAGUGGGGACGGGUGCGUAACACGUGGGUAACCUCCCAUCAGAGGGGAUAACACUUGGCAACAGGUGCUAAACCGAUACUGAUGGAUGGAGCAGGGGUGCAUUAGCUAGUGGGUGGGGUAACGGCUCACCAAGGCCACGAUGCAUAGCCGGCCUGAGAGGGUGACCGGCCACACUGGUACUGAGACACGGCCCAGACUCCUACGGGAGGCAGCAGUGGGGAAUCUUCGGCAAUGGGCGAAAGUCUGACCGAGCAACGCCGCGUGAGUGAAGAAGGUUUUCGGAUCGUAAAACUCUGUUGUUGGAGAAGCGGUAUCUAACCAGAAAGCCACGGCUAACUACGUGCCAGCAGCCGCGGUAAUUC